rnacentral:rRNA from 1 species
GAACUGAAGAGUUUGAUCAUGGCUCAGAUUGAACGCUGGCGGCAGGCCUAACACAUGCAAGUCGAGCGGUAGGGAGAAGCUUGCUUCUCUUGAGAGCGGCGGACGGGUGAGUAAUGCCUAGGAAUCUGCCUGGUAGUGGGGGAUAACGUUCGGAAACGGACGCUAAUACCGCAUACGUCCUACGGGAGAAAGCAGGGGACCUUCGGGCCUUGCGCUAUCAGAUGAGCCUAGG